GACGAACGCUGGCGGCGUGCUUAACACAUGCAAGUCGAACGGAAAGGCCCUGCUUUUGUGGGGUGCUCGAUUGGCGAACGGGUGAGUAACACGUGAGUAACCUGCCCUUGACUUUGGGAUAACUUCAGGAAACUGGGGCUAAUACCGGAUAGGAGCUCCUGCUGCAUGGGGGGGGUUGGAAAGUUUCGGCGGUUGGGGAUGGACUCGCGGCUUAUCAGCUUGUUGGUGGGGUAGUGGCUUACCAAGGCUUUGACGGGUAGCCGGCCUGAGAGGGUGACCGGCCACAUUGGGACUGAGAGACGGCGCAGACUGCUACGGGAGGCAGCAGUGGGGAAUAUUGCACAAUGGGCGGAAGCCUGAUGCAGCAACGCCGCGUGCGGGAUGACGGCCUUCGGGUUGUAAACCGCUGUCGCCUGUGACGAAGCGUGAGUGACGGUAAUGGGUAAAGAAGCACCGGCUAACUACGUG
rnacentral:rRNA from 1 species